UACAGAGGUCCCGAGCGUUGUUCGGAUUCAUUGGGCGUAAAGGGUGCGUAGGCGGCGGGGCAAGUCUGAUGUGAAAUCCCGGGGCUCAACCCCGGAACUGCAUUGGAUACUGCCUUGCUCGAGUACUGGAGAGGGUCGUGGAAUUCCCGGUGUAGCGGUGAAAUGCGUAGAGAUCGGGAGGAACACCAGAGGCGAAGGCGGCGACCUGGACAGAUACUGACACUCAACUGCGAAAGCGUGGGGAGCAAACAGG
rnacentral:rRNA from 1 species